rnacentral:rRNA from 1 species
AUGCACGCUAGCUACAGGCUUAACACAUGCAAGUCGAGGGGCAGCGGGAUUGAAGCUUGCUUCAAUUGCCGGCGACCGGCGCACGGGUGAGUAACGCGUAUCCAACCUUCCGUACACUCAGGGAUAGCCUUUCGAAAGAAAGAUUAAUACCUGAUGGUAUGAUGAGAUUGCAUGAUAUCAUCAUUAAAGAUUUAUCGGUGUACGAUGGGGAUGCGUUCCAUUAGGUAGUAGGCGGGGUAACGGCCCACCUAGCCAACGAUGGAUAGGGGUUCUGAGAGGAAGGUCCCCCACAUUGGAACUGAGACACGGUCCAAACUCCUACGGGAGGCAGCAGUGAGGAAUAUUGGUCAAUGGACGAGAGUCUGAACCAGCCAAGUAGCGUGAAGGAUGAAGGUCCUACGGAUUGUAAACUUCUUUUAUAAGGGAAUAAACCCUCCCACGUGUGGGAGCUUGUAUGUACCUUAUGAAUAAGCAUCGGCUAACUCCGUG